GAUGAACGCUGGCGGCGUGCCUAAUACAUGCAAGUCGAGCGAACAGACGAGGAGCUUGCUCCUCUGACGUUAGCGGCGGACGGGUGAGUAACACGUGGAUAACCUACCUAUAAGACUGGGAUAACUUCGGGAAACCGGAGCUAAUACCGGAUAAUAUAUUGAACCGCAUGGUUCAAUAGUGAAAGACGGUUUUGCUGUCACUUAUAGAUGGAUCCGCGCCGCAUUAGCUAGUUGGUAAGGUAACGGCUUACCAAGGCAACGAUGCGUAGCCGACCUGAGAGGGUGAUCGGCCCCACGGGACCGGAGACACGGUCCAGACCCCUACGGGAGGCAGCAGUAGGGAAUCUUCCGCAAUGGGCGAAAGCCGGACGGAGAAACGCCGCGUGAGUGAUGAAGGUCUUCGGAUCGUAAAACUCUGUUAUUAGGGAAGAACAAAUGUGUAAGUAACAAUGAACGUCUUGACGGUACCUAUCAGAAAGCCACGGCUAACUACGUG
rnacentral:rRNA from 1 species